UAGGGAAUAUUAGAAAUGGACGAAAGUCUGAUCUAGCAACACCGCGUGUGCGAAGAAGGCCUUCGGGUUGUAAAGCACUUUUUGGAAGGAUUAGGAAGGAAUGUACUUCCAGAAUAAGUCUCGGCUAACUACGUGCCAGCAGCCGCGGUAACACGUAGGAGGCAAACGUUAUCCGGAUUUACUGGGCGUAAAGCGCGUGUAGGUGGUUCUGUAAGUAGGGCGUGAAAGCUCCUGGCUCAACUGGGAGAGGCCGUUCUAAACUGCAGAGCUAGAGGAUGGUAGAGGGAGGUGGAAUUCCGGGUGUAGCGGGGGAAUGCGCAGAUAUCCGGAGGAACACCAGUGGCGAAAGCGGCCUCCGUGACCAUUCCUGACACUCAGACGCGAAAGCUAGGGUAGCAAACG
rnacentral:rRNA from 1 species